rnacentral:lncRNA from 1 species
UAACUUCCCGACGACGACCGUUUCUCAUGACCCUGCACAGCACGUUUUUAACUCUCCAAGUCGGGGGGCAGGUGACACGCAGGGCCUUGGUCUUCCUGUCUCCCUGGUGGGCACGGAGCAGAGCGGGGCAGCUCAGACCGGGGGGAGCUCAGGACUCGGUGAAGUGGGCCCCGCGCCACCCCCGUCGUGGACGAAGCCGAUUUGGAGAAACGAGCAGAACCGAGUGCCAGCCGUGGUUCCUUGGGAAGCUUGUGUCGCGAAGGGUUCAAAUGCGACCCAGUGGAGAGGACACACAGAGCAAGAUUCACAGGACCUGGUUCAGAGCUUUCUAGAAGUCCUGAGAUGGGCGGCAGGAAGGGGUGGGUGGAAGGGAAGGGCACGCGGCUCCGCGGUGGAGCGUGGGGCACAGACUUGCCACACGGUCGCUUCGUCAUCGGCAACGGGGAAGACGUGGGGGGGGGCUGCGCGGCCUGUUCACGGCCAACGGGAGGAACGCAACAAGGGGGUGGGAUGCGUGGGCUCUCCCGCACGCGGAGUCCGGAAAGUCACCGUGAACCUCGACACUUCCCAUCUUCCAGGGCCGAGCCCAACGCGGGGCUCGAACUCCCCACCGUGUGACCGAGACCUGAGCCAAGAUCAAGAGCGACACGCUUAGCCGACCGAGCCACCCAGAAGCCCCACGGAGGGUCGUUUUUAAUAACAUGAUAGAAACCUGAAAAAGAAUACAAUACCAUGUGGCACGCAGCGCGUUUUCCUGACUGCCAUGAAGAACCGUGGCUUUGUGCAGCUUGGUGCAUCCCAGGGUGCUCCGCGGGGAGACUCCUGGCCGGAUCGAGCCGUGCCCAGCAGCUGGCCAGCGCGCCAGAAACGAAUGCAAUCCCAGGUCAGCUCGAUCACCAUUUUUGCUUUCUGGCUAUUCUAGUCGUCCUAACACUUGGAUAGAGCUUCUUUGUUUGAAAUUGCUUUUUAUAUAUGUAUGUGCUUUUUACACCCCAGCUUCAGCUGGCUGGGGAAAGCGCCGAGAGGGUGAGUCUGGUUUCCUGCAUGGGACUGCGCUCGCGCCUUGGGUACCGAUGGGGAGUCCCACGCUGGGCAGCAGGAGUACCGUGGACCCCGGUGCCAAGAAACUCAGCCCGGUCCCCAGACGGCCGGCAGGGCUGCCUCAGGGGGCAGCACUUCCUGACCCUGGGCCCAUGUGCCCCCGCAGCGUGCAGCCCUCCGCCCCACCCAUGAGGGGGACAGCAUGUGGGGUCCCAACUCAGCACCCUCGGGACUUCUCACAGCUUCCCUGAGAGGAGGCUGCCCCGCUUGUUGGAGACCAUGAAACCCAGGAAAGGGCCCCUGCAGGUGUCACAGGGCUUGCACGCGCACCCAGGGCCACCCAGUCCAUCGCCCUGACUUCCCGGCAUCACCAGGGACACACCACCCACCACCCAUCUGGGCACCAAGACACCCCCCCCCACCGGCCCUCCUGCUGCUGAAGCCCAGGGACCCUUUGUGAGGUGGGGAUUGUACCCCAGCCCGAGCCGCUCCCCCAC